rnacentral:rRNA from 1 species
AGUGAACGCUGGCGGUAGGCCUAGCACAUGCAAGUCGAACGGCAGCACAGUAAGAGCUUGCUCUUACGGGUGGCGAGUGGCGGACGGGUGAGGAAUACAUCGGAAUCUACUUUUUCGUGGGGGAUAACGUAGGGAAACUUACGCUAAUACCGCAUACGACCUACGGGUGAAAGCAGGGGAUCUUCGGACCUUGCGCGAUUGAAUGAGCCGAUGUCGGAUUAGCUAGUUGGCGGGGUAAAGGCCCACCAAGGCGACGAUCCGUAGCUGGUCUGAGAGGAUGAUCAGCCACACUGGAACUGAGACACGGUCCAGACUCCUACGGGAGGCAGCAGUGGGGAAUAUUGGACAGUGGGCGCAAGCCUGAUCCAGCCAUACCGCGUGGGUGAAGAAGGCCUUCGGGUUGUAAAGCCCUUUUGUUGGGAAAGAAAAGCAGCAGGUUAAUACCCCGCUGUUCUGACGGUACCCAAAGAAUAAGCACCGGCUAACUUCGUG